rnacentral:lncRNA from 1 species
GGAGUUAGCAAAUAGUCUAUAACGUGAAGGUUCAAACUCUAGUAUAAUUCCACCGUUUUUGUUUUUUUCUUUUUUUGAGGCAAGGUCUCACUCUGUCUCCCAAGCUGGAGUGUAGUGGCGCGAUCUCGGCUCACUGCAGCAUCGUCUUCUGGGUUCAAGCGAUCCUCCGGCCUCAGCUGGACUACAGGUAUGACACACAGAUGUCUAAGCAACUGCCUUCCAGCAGUGAUUGAUUUUGCUGGUUCCCCACACAAAAAGUUUGGAAGAGACCCUUAUGUCUUCUGUAGAGUUUCUUGGUUGUAAGCAGCAAGCACUGGUGCUGGCUAACUUAAGCAAAUAAAGAAUAUAUCACUCAGACAUCAAAGAAACAGCUGGAAAUCUGGCUUGGCAAAGGCCGGAUUAGGGCACUCCUGGGGAUGUGGGUAGUAGGAAUAGUCUAUAGUUUUUCCUCAGUGCCAACACUGGGAAAGAAUAUGUUCCAAUUAUUUUCAUUUUCCUAUCCUUUUGUCUUUCUUCAGAAGAAGCAAAGUUGAGAGAUAGUCUUUCAUAGCUUUUCCCAUAAGGUAUGUUCUCCUUGGGCAACAUUUUCAACUCAACCUUUAGCCCUUAGCUUGCUUUUUCUUUUUUUUUUUCUUUAUUUUUUUUAUUUUUGAGACGAGGGUCUUGCUCUGUCACCCAGGCUAGAGUACAGUGGCAUGAUCAUGGCUCACUGCAGCCUCAACCUCUCAGGCUCAAGCAGUUCUCCCACCUCAGCCUCCCAAGUAGCUGGGACUACUGGCGCGAGCCACCAUGCCCAGCUAACUUUUGUUUAUUUUUUAUAGAGACAGGGUCACACUAUGUUGCCCAGGGUGGUCUCAAACUCUGGUUUGAGCAAUCUGCCCACCUUGGCCUCCCAAAGUGCUGGGAUUACAGGCAUGAACCACCUCACCUGGCCUUUCUUUAUUCAUCAUGAAUAUACCCUGCUUAGCCUGGUCAACAUGGAGAAACUCUGUCUCUACAAAACAAAAAUUAGCCAGGCAUGGUGGUGUGGCCUGUAGUCCCAGCUACUGAGGAGGCUGAGGUGGGAGGAUCACUUGAACCUGGCAGGUGGAGGCUGCAGUGAACUGAGAUCACAUCACUGCACUUCAGCCUGGGAGACAGAGACCCUGCCUCAAAAAACAAACAAACAAACAAACAAAAAAGAAUAUAUUCCGCUUUUCUAUCCCUAAUUGUCUGCUCAAGCAGUGUGCCUGACAGUCACAUGACCCCUUCUAGGAAGCCUUGGAAAGUCUGCCCUGCCUAUUGCCCCUUUUUGAGGACUUCAUUAUGCAACCUACAAUUCUUGGCUCAGCUGAAGGAGCAAGAGCAGGGCCUCCUAAAUGGCACCUUUCUAUUAGGCUUACCAAAGGCCUGGUAUAUGUGCUUUGCCCAACAGGAAAUCUCUAUACUGAGUAGCAUUGAACCAUCUAGAUUUCUCUCUUGGGUAGGUUUAACCGUGACGCAUGCAAAGGACAGUCCUUAGUCAAGGUAGAUGCAGAAAGGCUCACAGAGGGAAGUGAGAGCAGAGAGUAAGCAGAAGCCAUGGGACAGCCUAAAGGAGAAUACAGAAAAGAUGACCAGGAGCGGCAGAAGCAAGAGCAGAGAGAGAAUGAUUGAGACCCCAGAGUGCGGAAACACUAGGGUAGGGAGCAAAGGAUGGCGCCCCCUGCUGAGAGGUCCAGAAUGGUGGGCUGCAGUUAAAUCUUCAACAACCUUCUGCAGCAGCGUGAUGUCUCUGCUUUUAUGUCUCUG